CACGGGGGGAGCAAGCGUUGUUCGGAAUCACUGGGCGUAAAGCGCGUGUAGGCGGCCAAGUAAGUGGGAUGUGAAAUCCCCCGGCUUACCCGGGGACCUGCAUCUCAUACUGCUUGGCUUGAGUAUGGGAGAGGAUGAGGGAAUUCCUGGUGUAGCGGUGAAAUGCGUAGAUAUCAGGAGGAACACCGGUGGCGAAGGCGGUCAUCUGGGCUACAACUGACGCUGAGGCGCGAAAGCGUGGGGAGCAAACAGG
rnacentral:rRNA from 1 species